CGCCAAUGACGAAAGUUAUGGUAUCAUGCAAUGUAUGAGACUUCAUGAUUACUAUACCAACUACUGCCUUCCUUCUGAGGCC